GAUGAACGCUGGCGGCGUGCCUAAUACAUGCAAGUCGAGCGCAGCGGGGACGGGUGAGUAACACGUGGAAAACCUCCUAUAAGUCCGUGUUAACUUGGGGAAACCGGUGCUAAACCGGAUACUUAUAUUUGGUUCCGCGCUGCAUGAGCUAGUGGGUAAGGUAAUGGUUUACCAAGGCAACGAUGCAUAGCCGACCUGAGAGGGUGAGCGGCCACACUGGAACUGGGACACGGUCCAGACUCCUACGGGAGGCAGCAGUAGGGAAUCUUCCGCAAUGGGCUAAAGCCUGACGGAGCAACGCCGCGUGAGUGAGGAAGGUUUUCGGAUCGUAAAACUCUGUUGUUAGGGAAGCGGUAUCUAAUCAGAAAGCCACGGCUAACUACGUGCCAGCAGCCGCGGUAAUUC
rnacentral:rRNA from 1 species